rnacentral:rRNA from 1 species
CCUACGGGGGGCAGCAGUGGGGAAUAUUGCACAAUGGGCGCAAGCCUGAUGCAGCCAUGCCGCGUGUGUGAAGAAGGCCUUCGGGUCGUAAAGCACUUUCAGCGGGGAGGAAGGCGUUAAGGUUAAUAACCUUGUCGAUUGACGUUACCCGCAGAAGAAGCACCGGCUAACUCCGUGCCAGCAGCCGCGGUAAUACGGAGGGUGCAAGCGUUAAUCGGAAUUACUGGGCGUAAAGCGCACGCAGGCGGUCUGUCAAGUCGGAUGUGAAAUCCCCGGGCUCAACCUGGGAACUGCAUUCGAAACUGGCGGGCUAGAGUCUUGUAGAGGGGGGUGGAAUUCCAGGUGUAGCGGUGAAAUGCGUAGAGAUCUGGAGGAAUGCCGGUGGCGAAGGCGGCCCCCUGGACAAAGACUGACGCUCAGGUGCGAAAGCGUGGGGAGCAAACAGGAUUAGAUACCCGUGUAGUC